rfam:Loxodonta africana unplaced genomic scaffold scaffold_28, whole genome shotgun sequence.
ACAUUGGUGGUUCAGUGGUAGAAUUCUCACCUUCCAUGUGGGAAACCCAGGUUCAAUUCCCGGCCAGUGCA